AACUUAAGAGUUUGAUCCUGGCUCAGAUUGAACGCUGGCGGCAUGCUUUACACAUGCAAGUCGAACGGCAGCACAGCAGGGGUAACCCUGUGGGUGGCGAGUGGCGAACGGGUGAGUAAUACAUCGGAACGUACCCUGUUGUGGGGGAUAACUACGCGAAAGCGUAGCUAAUACCGCAUACGCCCUGAGGGGGAAAGCGGGGGACCCUAAAUAGAGCGCACUGGGAAGUGUGCUGUAUUUAGGGCCUCGCGCAACAGGAGCGGCCGAUGUCGGAUUAGCUAGUUGGUGAGGUAAAGGCUUACCAAGGCGACGAUCUGUAACUGGUCUGAGAGGACGACCAGUCACACUGGGACUGAGACACGGCCCAGACUCCUACGGGAGGCAGCAGUGGGGAAUAUUGGACAAUGGGGGCAACCCUGAUCCAGCCAUUUCGCGUGUGCGAUGAAGGCCUUCGGGUUGUAAAGCACUUUUGGCAGGGAAGAAAAGGAUUGGGCUAAUACCCUGAUUCGCUGACGGUACCUGCAGAAUAAGCACCGGCUAACUACGUGCCAGCAGCCGCGGUAAUACGUAGGGGACAAGCGUUGUCCGGAUUUACUGGGCGUAAAGGGCACGCAGGCGGUUUUUUAAGUCAGAUGUGAAAGGUACCGGCUCAACCGGUGACAUGCAUUUGAAACUGAAAGACUUGAGUAUUGGAGAGGCAAGUGGAAUUCCUAGUGUAGCGGUGAAAUGCGUAGAUAUUAGGAG
rnacentral:rRNA from 1 species